rnacentral:lncRNA from 1 species
AAACCCUAAUCUGUAAAUAGGGAAAAACCUAAGUGUUAAUUUAAUACUUUUAAUGUUAAUUAGUUUAUAUUAAUUCUAAUUUUCAAGUUAAGUAAUUAGAAAACCCUAAUCUAAUUACGAAAUCUAAUUUCUAACUUAGAAAAUUUAUUUUCUAUUAGAAAUCCUAAUUAGUGGUUUAUAAACCCUAAUGACCAUUUUGAC